rnacentral:rRNA from 1 species
UGGGGAAUCUUGCGCAAUGGGCGAAAGCCUGACGCAGCCAUGCCGCGUGGAUGAUGAAGGUCUUAGGAUUGUAAAAUCCUUUCACCGGUGAAGAUAAUGACUGUAGCCGGAGAAGAAGCCCCGGCUAACUUCGUGCCAGCAGCCGCGGUAAUACGAAGGGGGCUAGCGUUGCUCGGAUUUACUGGGCGUAAAGGGCGCGUAGGCGGACAUUUAAGUCAGGGGUGAAAUCCCGGGGCUCAACCCCGGAAC